rnacentral:rRNA from 1 species
AUUGAACGCUGGCGGCAGGCCUAACACAUGCAAGUCGAGCGGAUGAGAGGAGCUUGCUCUUUGAUUUAGCGGCGGACGGGUGAGUAAUGCCUAGGAAUCUGCCUGGUAGUGGGGGACAACGUUUCGAAAGGAACGCUAAUACCGCAUACGUCCUACGGGAGAAAGUGGGGGAUCUUCGGACCUCACGCUAUCAGAUGAGCCUAGGUCGGAUUAGCUAGUUGGUGAGGUAAUGGCUCACCAAGGCGACGAUCCUUAACUGGUCCGAGAGGAUGAUCAGUCACACUGGAACUGAGACACGGUCCAACCUCCUACGGGAGGCAGCAGUGGGGAAUAUUGGACAAUGGGCGCAAGCCUGAUCCAGCCAUGCCGCGUGUGUGAAGAAGGUCUUCGGAUUGUAAAGCACUUUAAGUUGGGAGGAAGGUCAGUAGCUUAAUACGUUGCUGAUUUGACGUUACCGACAGAAUAAGCACCGGCUAACUCUGUGCCAGCCGCCGCAGUAACAC